rnacentral:rRNA from 1 species
GUGAACCUUUACUAUAGCUUGACACUGAACAUUGAGCCUUGAUGUGUAGGAUAGGUGGGAGGCUUUGAAGCGUGGACGCCAGUCUGCGUGGAGCCAACCUUGAAAUACCACCCUUUAAUGUUUGAUGUUCUAACGUUGGCCCCUAAUCGGGGUUGCGGACAGUGUCUGGUGGGUAGUUUGACUGGGGCGGUCUCCUCCCAAAGCGUAACGGAGGAGCACGAAGGUUAGCUAAUCCUGGUCGGACAUCAGGAGGUUAGUGCAAUGGCAUAAGCUAGCUUGACUGCGAGCGUG